AACGCACAUUGCGCCCCCUGGUAUUCCGGGGGGCAUGCCUGUUCGAGCGUCAUUUCACCAAUCAAGCCACGCUUGGUAUUGGAUGCGGCCUGGCCCCCCGUGGCCGGGCCCGCCCGAAAUGCAUCGGCGAGGACACCGACCCCCGGCGUGUUAAGAAUCUCACAGUUCGUGACGUCGGGAGCACCGGUCGACCUCCGCCGUGAAACUUGUCAUCAAGUUGACCUCGGAUCAGGUAGGAAUACCCGCUGAACUUAA
rnacentral:misc_RNA from 1 species